rnacentral:rRNA from 1 species
UACAGAGGAGGCCAAGCGUUGUCCGGAUUGACUGGGCGUAAAGCGCACGCAGGCGGACGCGCGCGUGGGGUGUGAAAUCUGGCCGCUUAACGGCCAGGCGCCAUCCCAUACGGCGCGUCUGGAGUGAUGCAGAGGUCGGUGGAAUUGCCGGUGUAGUGGUGAAAUGCGUAGAAGAGUCGGCAGGAACACCCAGGGGGAAACCAGCCGACUGGGCAUCUACUGACGCUGAGGUGCGAAGAGCGUGGGGAGCGAACCGG